ensembl:lncRNA
CUUGUCUAUUUAUAGAAAUACGUCUCGCCCUUUACUUAAGAGGCAGUGACUUGGAGAAGCAGAUAUUUAGAGGAAGUCCAUUUGCUUGACAAAAACAUCUAUUACUUUUAUCACCAUUGGAGACCGAAAAAGAAUCAAUUACAAUACUUCACUUGGGAAUGACUAAUUGAAUUGUGAAACAUACUGAUGUUCUGAAGUCACCGAGCCCCAAUACCUACCCCUGGGGAACCACCACUUGUGACUGGUCACCAGCUGGAUUGAAUUCCAUUCACCACUACUCUCUCAGCCCAGCCAUCCAGUCAGUUUCUAAGUCAGUGAGGAGUACACCUGGUUCUUGUUGUGUGCAAGUAGAGCGGGUCUCCAUCAGGGACUGUGGCUUCCAUAUGUACCAGGCCAUGCAUCCAGUGCAGGCAUCACUGGCUUUAUCUUGAAAAGCUCCAACAAUUGCUGCAGACACCACAGUUCUUUGAGGACACUUUUCUUGACCUGUGUGUGAUGCAAAGAUGCAAAG